rnacentral:lncRNA from 1 species
AUCUUAUAGGUAAUUAUUUAAUUUUGAUUUUUCAGAUUGAAAUUUAAAAAUAGUGAUUGAUUUCAAGAGCGAUUGGAUAGAGUUAAUAAGUUGUUGGAAUGAAAAUUAAAUUUGAGGGAAAUUUGGUUUUAAAAUUGAUCCAAACAAAAAUUAUUUUUUUUAGUACAAACCGGUUAUUAACCAAACCGAUCCAAACAUAAACUGAUUUUAAAAAUAUAAACCGGUUUUAUCAAAGUGGUUUUAAAAACCAAACUGAUCCAUAUAUUUGGUUCAAUUUGGUUAUGGUU